rnacentral:rRNA from 1 species
AUGCAGAGCAUCUUGGUGGACGUCAAUCACAUCAGAAACUUGUCCACCAAGAACUCAUUUGUUGCUCAUGAAGCCUAUAGGAGGUCCUGGAAGAGUCUCACACUUCUCUGCUCUGAAGAUGAUCUUCGCGAAGAUGGCUUCACUGAGGGUUUGAAAUUUGACUCCACUCCUCCUCGCAAUGCAAGCUGGCGUCGGACUCCACCCAUUGAAGAUUCAGAGUAUUCAUCUUCAGCUGCAACUGUUGUUGCGAGAGUCGUCGAAGAAGAAGAUGAUGCCACUUCACCAGCCAUGGCUUCACCGCGUAUCGACACUGCACCAGGCGCCUCUGCACCACCGAAUGUCAACGUCGAUGCUUCACCUUCAUAUACUCCUGAUGGCAACGAGUAG